rnacentral:misc_RNA from 1 species
UCCGGUUUGGCACCGGCAGUCCCCCCAGAAGGCCCUAUCUCUAGGGUUGUCAGAGGCAUUCUAGCCCAGGUAAGGUUCUUCGCGUUGCGUCGAAUUAAACCACAUGCUCCACCGCUUGUGCGGGUCCCCGUCAAUUCCUUUGAGUUUCAGUCUUGCGACCGUACUCCCCAGGCGGAAUGCUUAAAGCGUUAGCGACGGCACCCGGGGACUUUAUAACCCCAGACACCAAGCAUUCAUCGUUUAAGGCUAGGACUAC